CCUACGGGAGGCAGCAGUGAGGAAUAUUGGUCAAUGGCCGGAAGGCUGAACCAGCCAUGCCGCGUGAAGGUCAGUGCCCUAUGGGCGUUAAACUUCUUUUGUGCGGGAGCAAUAAUGGUCACGUGUGGCCAGACGAGAGUACCGUACGAAUAAGCAUCGGCUAACUCCGUGCCAGCAGCCGCGGUAAUACGGGGGAUGCAAGCGUUAUCCGGAUUUAUUGGGUUUAAAGGGUGCGUAGGCUGUGAGGUAAGUCAGCGGGGAAAUGCCCACGCUCAACGGGGUGAAGUGUCAUUGAUACUGCCUUGCUGGAAUGCGGAUGCCGUGGGAGGAAUGUGGGGUGUAGCGGUGAAAUGCAUAGAUAUCACACAGAACACCGAUUGCGAAGGCAUCUCACGAAUCCGCGAUUGACGCUGAUGCACGAAAGCGUGGGUAUCAAACAGGAUUAGAUACCCGGGUAGUC
rnacentral:rRNA from 1 species